rnacentral:tRNA from 1 species
CGGGGUGUGGCCCAAUUGGCUAAGGCGCGUGAUUCGGGUUCACGAGAUUCCGGGUUCAAGUCCCGGCACCCCGA